rnacentral:lncRNA from 1 species
CGGGCAGGUCUGGGGAAGGAGGUCGGGGCCAUGGGCGCGGGCACCACGGGGUCCGACGACGCCGAGGCGCUGGACGCAGUGCUGGGCACGCUGCUGGCCGUACUGGUGCUGGUGGUGGUCAAGGCGGCCGUGGACGUGCUGCGGCGGCGGCGAGCGCACGCGACCGUCCUGGUGGUGGGCGCGGGGCCGGUGGGGCUGACCGCGGCGCUCGUCGCUGUCCGCUCGGGCCGGGUGCUGAAGCUGACCGUGCUGGACGCGUGCGCGCGGGGUCCGCUGCUGGGGCGCACGCAGCAGAUUGCGCUGGACCCCCGCAGCGUCCGCUUCCUCCAGCCGCUGGGAGUGGACUUCGACAACAUGGAAGGCUGCUGGCGCAAUGGCCACUUCUUCACCCGGGUCGGCGUCUUCCAGGAGCACCUGCUCAGCCUCCUGGAGAGGAAGGGCCAGCGGCCUGGCUUUCGUCUUAUCCUGGGCACCAAGGUGCCCACACCAGAAAUCCGAGCCCACAACCUCUACCUCGAUCUCUCUGCUUAUGGGAUCGAGUUCACUUCUGCAAAAAAGGAAUCCCCAAUCUCGCAUCAGGCAGUCAAACAGCCAGGUUUCCACCUGAAAAUCUACGGAACCUUCCGCCACCGAUAUAUCGCUUUGGCAUGUCCAGCUUCUGAUUCCAAAGUUGUUAGAUUUCUCCGUCAUACUGUCAGCUCCUCAGUCAUGAAGACCAUCUUCCACCAAGCGUUCAACGCCUACAAGAUGGACAUCGAGCCCCGCGUGAGGGACGCCGCCAUGUCCCGGGUGCAGUGCAGCAGAAGGCUGUUUGAGAUCACGCUGUCCCACCGGCGGGCCACAGCUGCCUACAUCCAGGGCAUAGGCAGGGUAGUCACUGUGGAGGGAGAGGCAGCUCGAGUGCUCAACUUUGACACGGGAUCUGGGGUGAAUCUUGGGCUCCAGGGCCUGGAGUCUUUGGAAGAAUUCAUUGGCAAGAUCGCGACAGCUGUGGAUCAGAGCGACAUCUUGGAAGCUUUGGCUGCCAAAAUAAGACACUCUAAACAGGUGGUGGAAGACUUUAAACAGAAUGGACUCCUCACGACAAUUUUCAAGUGACUGGGGGCAACACGACUGCCCCCGCCCCCCAGAGGGUGACUCUCCUCCCUGCAGGGCAGAAAGGAGCUAGGAAUGAGGUUAGGCUGAAAUAGAAUUUCGUGAGUGUUGGCAAGUUAGCAAUUAUACACGAAAGCUACAUCGAAGCUUGGGGUCUUUAUAUAUAAAUUAAACAAGUGAAGUUUCCAAACUCAACGGUCUAAUUUCCAGAAGUCGCUGCAAUAGAUGUGAUGUGCUCAGCAGGGGAGAGUGCCUACCUGUGGCCCAGGAGAAAAUGUGUAUUAUUACUUCUGAGAAUUUUCAGAAUAAAACAGAAUCACUCUCUCCUUCUGAUGCUUCAGGGAAUCAGUUCUUAGCCUAUUAUGGCUGUAAAGGUUUACAAGUUACCCAGUUUAGGGGACCCUAAUCUUUUAGAUUUCAUGCAAUAGAGAAAGGCUUUGGUUUAUGGUUCAUUUUUAUUGUUAUUUGUGCAUUGUUUUUAGUGAGGUACAUAAUACUGAGAUUAUCAACUUUAUAAUUGUGUCACAAAAGGAUGUUUUAAAAAUGAAACGGGCAAACAAAAAAAAUCCUGUUGUCACUAUCUUUUCAUAAAAGAUAAGAUUUUAUUUAUUUUUUG